rnacentral:sRNA from 1 species
CCCCCAAAGCAUAAACCCACACACGUAUCGACACGGUGACCUGGGUGCCCCGAUCCACUGGAUCUGCGGGUUGGUCAUUGGGAUGCGUGGAGGCCCAAC